rnacentral:lncRNA from 1 species
GGAAGCCAGCAGUGAUGGAGCCACCUCAGAGGUUUCUAAGCCCAAAAAAGACAUGGAGCCAGAUGCAGAGCCGCUUCCACAGCUGGCUCUAGGAUCCCAACCACAGAGCAGUGCCGGCCAAGUGCAACAGAGGAACAGGCUUUCGAAUCCGAGACCCGGGUGCUGAGGAGAGCUCCUUGGGCAGGUCACGGGUCUGGCCUGGCGCCCCGGGGGAAUGACA